GAUGAAGAACGCAGCGAAAUGCGAUAAGUAAUGUGAAUUGCAGAAUUCAGUGAAUCAUCGAAUCUUUGAACGCACAUUGCGCCCGCCAGUAUUCUGGCGGGCAUGCCUGUUCGAGCGUCAUUAUCACCCCUCAAGCCCUCGGCUUGGUGUUGGACGGUUUGGUGGAGGCCCCCUCGGGGGCUCCUGCCCCUCCCAAAGACAAUGACGGCGGCCUCGUUGGACCCCCGGUACACUGAGUUCUUCACGGGACACGUAUCGGACACAUGGGUUUACGGGACACGGUCUGCCUCCCCUCAGGGAGAAUCUUUCUAAGGUUGACCUCGGAUCAGGUAGGGAUACCCGCUGAACUUAAGCAUAUCAAUAAGCGGAGGA
rnacentral:misc_RNA from 1 species